rnacentral:rRNA from 1 species
AUUGAACGCUGGCGGCAGGCCUAACACAUGCAAGUCGAACGGUAGCACAGAGAGCUUGCUCUCGGGUGACGAGUGGCGGACGGGUGAGUAAUGUCUGGGAAACUGCCUGAUGGAGGGGGAUAACUACUGGAAACGGUAGCUAAUACCGCAUAACGUCGCAAGACCAAAGAAGGGGACCUUCGGGCCUCUUGCCAUCAGAUGUGCCCAGAUGGGAUUAGGCUAGG